CCUACGGGCGGCAGCAGUGGGGAAUAUUGGACAAUGGGCGAAAGCCUGAUCCAGCCAUGCCGCGUGUGUGAAGAAGGCCUUCGGGUUGUAAAGCACUUUCAGUGGGGAAGAAAGCCUUGGGGCUAAUACCCUCGAGGAAGGACAUCACCCACAGAAGAAGCACCGGCUAACUCCGUGCCAGCAGCCGCGGUAAUACGGAGGGUGCGAGCGUUAAUCGGAAUUACUGGGCGUAAAGCGCGCGUAGGCGGUCUGAUAAGCCGGUUGUGAAAGCCCCGGGCUCAACCUGGGAACGGCAUCCGGAACUGUCAGGCUAGAGUGCAGGAGAGGAAGGUAGAAUUCCCGGUGUAGCGGUGAAAGGCGUAGAGAUCGGGAGGAAUACCAGUGGCGAAGGCGGCCUUCUGGACUGACACUGACGCUGAGGUGCGAAAGCGUGGGUAGCAAACAGGAUUAGAUACCCUAGUAGUC
rnacentral:rRNA from 1 species